CCCCCUCCCCAAAAUCCCUCACUUCAUCUCUCACUAUUUCUCUAACCCCUCACUAGCUUUGCCACAGAUCACCUGCCGAAAAUCGCCCACGUCGAUACCGAUGGUCCAAACACCGCCAAAUUAAUACCUGAUGAUCCCCAGCCUCCCCUCUACACUCUCCUACCAUCAGCUUCCCCAAAAUACCCACCAAAUUCCACAAAUUUUAGAUCUAAAAUCCGGAAUCCCAAAAC
rnacentral:lncRNA from 1 species